AAUGGCCGCAGUAUUUUGACUGUGCAAAGGUAGCAUAAUCAUUAGUUUCUUAAUUAGAAGCUUGUAUGAAGGGUUUGAUGAGAAAUUAACUGUCUCAUUUUUAUAAGUGGAAUUUAAUUUUUAAGUUAAAAGGCUUAAAUUUUGUAAAAAGACGAGAAGACCCUAUAGAGUUUUAUUCACUUGGUUUUUAUUUUUUUAGUUUUAUUAUAAGGUUAAGUGAAUUUUGUUGGGGUGAUGAAAAAAUUUAUAAAACUUUUUUUUGUUUUUUACAUUAAUAGGUGAUUUGAUGAUCCUUUUUUUAAGAUUAUAAGAAAAAAUUACCUUAGGGAUAACAGCGUAAUUUUUUUUGAAAGUUCUUAUUGAUAAAGAAGUUUGCGACCUCGAUGUUGGAUUAAAAUUAAUUUUCGGUGCAGAAGCUGAAAUGAUUA
rnacentral:rRNA from 1 species